rnacentral:rRNA from 1 species
CGCAAGCCUGACGGAGCAAUACCGCGUGAGGGAUGACGGCCUAUGGGUUGUAAACCUCUUUUUUCAGGGAGGAAUCAAUGACGUGUACCUGAAGAAUAAGCAUCGGCUAACUCCGUGCCAGCAGCCGCGGUAAGACGGAGGAUGCAAGCGUUAUCCGGAAUUAUUGGGCGUAAAGCGUCCGUAGGCGGCUAAUCAAGUCUGCUGUCAAAGCCCACAGCUCAACUGUGGAGAGGCAGUGGAAACUGAAUAGCUAGAGUGUGGUAGGGGCAGAGGGAAUUCCUGGUGUAGCGGUGAAAUGCGUAGAUAUCAGGAAGAACACCAGUGGCGAAGGCGCUCUGCUGGGCCAUAACUGACGCUGAUGGACGAAAGCUAGGGGAGCG